AUUACCCGCUGAACUUAAGCAAAUCACUAAGCGGAGGAAAAGAAACUAACCAGGAUUCCCCUAGUAACGGCGAGUGAAGAGGGAAUAGCCCAGCACCGAAGCCUGCGGUAGGUUUACUGCUAGGCAAUGUGGUGUUUGGGUCGACUCGCGGGAUUGCCACUCCACUCGAAGUCCAGCACUGAGUAUGGUUCCCUGGAUUUGGCCCAGAGAGGGUGAAAGGCCCGUGCGAGUGGAGGUUCAGACAUGUGAGGCAAUUCACCAGGUCGACCUUCGAGUCGGGGUGUUUGGGAAUGCAGC
rnacentral:rRNA from 1 species